UACGUAGGGGGCGAGCGUUGUCCGGAUUCAUUGGGCGUAAAGAGCUCGUAGGCGGCUCAGUAAGUCGGCUGUGAAAUCCCAGGGCUCAACCCUGGAACUGCAGUCGAUACUGCUGUGGCUAGAGUUUGGUAGAGGAGAAUGGAAUUCCCGGUGUAGCGGUGGAAUGCGCAGAUAUCGGGAGGAACACCAGUAGCGAAGGCGGUUCUCUGGGCCAAUACUGACGCUGAGGAGCGAAAGCGUGGGGAGCAAACAGGAUUAGAAACCCGGUAGUCC
rnacentral:rRNA from 1 species